rnacentral:rRNA from 1 species
AUACGAAGGGUGCAAGCGUUACUCGGGAUUACUGGGCGUAAAGCGUGCGUAGGUGGUUCGUUAAGUCUGAUGUGAAAGCCCUGGGCUCAACCUGGGAAUUGCAUUGGAUACUGGCGGGCUGGAGUGCGGUAGAGGAUGGCGGAAUUCCCGGUGUAGCAGUGAAAUGCGUAGAGAUCGGGAGGAACAUCCGUGGCGAAGGCGGCCAUCUGGACCAGCACUGACACUGAGGCACGAAAGCGUGGGGAGCAAACAGGAUUAGAUACCCUGGUAGUCCACGCCCUAAACGAUGCGAACUGGAUGUUGGGAGCAAUCAGGCUCUCAGUAUCGAAGCUAACGCGUUAAGUUCGCCGCCUGGGGAGUACGGUCGCAAGACUGAA